rnacentral:rRNA from 1 species
UGUGACAUACCUUAAUGUUGCCUCGGCGGAUCAGCCCGCGCCCCGUAAAACGGGACGGCCCGCCAGAGGACCCAAACUCUAAUGUUUCUUAUUGUAACUUCUGAGUAAAACAAACAAAUAAAUCAAAACUUUCAACAACGGAUCUCUUGGUUCUGGCAUCGAUGAAGAACGCAGCAAAAUGCGAUAAGUAAUGUGAAUUGCAGAAUUCAGUGAAUCAUCGAAUCUUUGAACGCACAUUGCGCCCGCUGGUAUUCCGGCGGGCAUGCCUGUUCGAGCGUCAUUUCAACCCUCAAGCCCCCGGGUUUGGUGUUGGGGAUCGGCUCUGCCCUCCUGGGCGGCGCCGCCCCCGAAAUACAUUGGCGGUCUCGCUGCAGCCUCCAUUGCGUAGUAGCUAACACCUCGCAACUGGAACGCGGCGCGGCCAUGCCGUAAAACCCCAACUUCUGAAUGUUGACCUCGGAUCAGGUAGGAAUACCCGCUGAACUUAAGCAUAUCAAUAAGCGGAGGAA